rnacentral:lncRNA from 1 species
UAUAUAAUUAAAUAUAUAAAUAAGUAUUAUAAAUAUAUAAUAUUAAGCAUCCUUGUUACAAAAUAUAUAGCCACAAUUUCAGAGAUGCCUAUAAAGAAAUAAGAUAAAAAAAAAGCAUACAAUUAUACGCCCGAUAUGACCUUGUACCCGAAUUUGUAUUAAAACCACUCCUGAGGUUUUUCUCGCACAUUUGAAAACAGCCUGUAUACGUAGACAUCUAUGCAAACAGAAAAUAAUAUAUGCUCCAGAUUUUUAGACAAGGAUGUAACUUUAAAAAAGAGAAAAAAAACAAAAGAAAGGAAGUAUCAAUCGUUUAAGAAUGACAGAGGUCGCAAGUUUACGUGGCCAACCGUAAACUCGUCGUUUCUUCAAGCUUAAUACUGAAAUACGAGCUAGUUGGAAAUAAAAUGGGUUGCGAGUAGUAGUUUGCUCGAGGAAGUGAGAGAGGAUAGUUCUCGAAUAGGUAUCAACGUUUUUAUUUUUAAGGUCAAACCUCGUUCGUAUCGAUCCAAUACUAAACCAAGUAAAAUAAUACUUUCAUACUAUAUCUAGGCUCCGAAAUUAUAUGUCAGAUAUUUUUUGAGGAAACUUUUACAAAAAAAGAACAAAAAUGAAAAAAGAUAAAAAAAUUUCUAGUUGGAAUAAAUAUUGGUGUAGCUCGUCAACAAUCGAUAAUCAAUGUUCCGAUAGCUUUGUAGCCAUCAUCACGAGGCUCGUUUUAAUGGAAAAAUAAAGGUACAUCAAGAAUUUGGAACGUGCCAUAUCCGAAAUAUGUUCGAUCUGGUAAAAUCAAUAAACUUUCGUUCUCCAGUAUUUGCAGAAAACACGGAGAACCACGAAUGGGAUAACACGAGUGGUUUAUUUGCAUUCUACUUUUUCCUUUUUCUUUUUUCUUUCUUUUUUGUGUCUAUAAAAAUAAACAAUUUUAA